rnacentral:rRNA from 1 species
UGGGGAAUUUUCCGCAAUGGGCGAAAGCCUGACGGAGUGACGCCGCGUGUGGGACGAAGGCCUUCGGGUCGUAAACCACUGUCAGUGGGAAAGACGGGUGUCGGCGCGAUAACCGCCGGCAUCUGACGGUACCUGCAGAGGAAGCCCCGGCCAACUCUGUGCCAGCAGCCGCGGUAAGACAGAGGGGGCAAGCGUUGCUCGGAAUUACUGGGCGUAAAGGGCGCGUAGGCGGGACGGAAAGUCGGUCGUGAAAUCCUCCGGCUCAACCGGAGAACGGCGAUCGAUACUUCCGUUCUUGAGGGUUGCAGAGGAGACUGGAAUUCCCGGUGUAGCGGUGAAAUGUGUAGAGAUCGGGAGGAACACCGGUGGCGAAGGCGGGUCUCUGGGCAACUCCUGACGCUGAGGCGCGAAAGCGUGGGGAGCAAACGG